rnacentral:rRNA from 1 species
UACGUAGGGACCAAGCGUUGUUCGGAUUUACUGGGCGUAAAGGGCGCGUAGGCGGCGUGGUAAGUCACUUGUGAAAUCUCUGAGCUUAACUCAGAACGGCCAAGUGAUACUGCUGUGCUAGAGUGCAGAAGGGGCAAUCGGAAUUCUUGGUGUAGCGGUGAAAUGCGUAGAUAUCGAGAGGAACACCUGCGGCGAAGGCGGGUUGCUGGGCUGAUACUGACGCUGAGGCGCGAAAGCCAGGGGAGCGAACGGG